rnacentral:rRNA from 1 species
UUGCACGCUGGCGGCCGGCCUAACACAUGCAAGUCGCACGGUAAUAGGAAGCAGCUUGCUGCUUUGCUGACGAGUGGCGGACGGGUGAGUAAUGUCUGGGAAACUGCCCGAUGGAGGGGGAUAACUACUGGAAACGGUAGCUAAUACCGCAUAACGUCGCAAGACCAAAGAGGGGGACCUUAGGGCCUCUUGCCAUCGGAUGUGCCCAGAUGGGAUUAGCUAGUAGGUGGGGUAACGGCUCACCUAGGCGACGAUCCCUAGCUGGUCUGAGAGGAUGACCAGCCACACUGGAACUGAGACACGGUCCAGACUCCUACGGGAGGCAGCAGUGGGGAAUAUUGCACAAUGGGCGCAAGCCUGAUGCAGCCAUGCCGCGUGUAUGAAGAAGGCCUUCGGGUUGUAAAGUACUUUCAGCGGGGAGGAAGGGAGUAAAGUUAAUACCUUUGCUCAUUGACGUUACCCGCAGAAGAAGCACCGGCUAACUCCGUG